CGGGAUGUAGCGCAGUCCGGUUAGCGCACCUGCUUUGGGAGCAGGGGGGCCCAGGUUCGAAUCCUGGUAUCCCGA
rnacentral:tRNA from 1 species